AAAAAUCAAUUGUUUUCUUCUAAGAACACCUGUUACAAUUUAGAAUUUUUGGGGCUAAAUGCAUAAAAAUUGACAAAAAUAAUCCAUAAAAAGUGGUUUUCCGUGUAUUGUCACGGUGCCUCGGUCGGUUGCCUUCCCCCUCCCUACUCUGCUCAUUGGAACCAGCUGCCUCUCAUCAUCUCAUCACCUGCUGUCCUUCUUAAGGAGAUCCAUCCCACCAUUCGACGCCAGUCCGUUAUACACUCUCCGGUCCUCCUCACCACGGGUGCAGCUGGUAUCCUGUUCUCUCCUCGUCUCCUCCGCUCAGGCCACGAAGUCCCAAGACAUUCUGGCGCGAAGCUCUGGUUUCCACGCCACAUAUACUCACCUCAGGUCCACGCUGUUUUCCUGAACUCUGGGAUUGUGAAUCCAUUAAACUCUUUCACUUGA